CCUACGGGAGGCAGCAGUGGGGAAUAUUGGGCAAUGGGCGCAAGCCUGACCCAGCAACGCCGCGUGAAGGAAGAAGGCUUUCGGGUUGUAAACUUCUUUUCUCAGGGACGAAGCAAGUGACGGUACCUGAGGAAUAAGCCACGGCUAACUACGUGCCAGCAGCCGCGGUAAUACGUAGGUGGCAAGCGUUAUCCGGAUUUACUGGGUGUAAAGGGCGUGUAGGCGGGACUGCAAGUCAGAUGUGAAAACCACGGGCUCAACCUGUGGCCUGCAUUUGAUACUGUAGGUCUUGAGUACUGGAGAGGCAGGCGGAAUGCGUGGUGUAGCGGUGAAAUGCGUAGAUAGUAGGAAGAACACC
rnacentral:rRNA from 1 species